GAUAACUUUCAACUGCAAGGUGAUGCAUCAUGUUAAUUACUGAAUAUGGAAAAUGUUUGAUAAGCCAAAAGGAAAAAACUAAAAUCUCCCACAAUUCCAUCAGCCAGAGAUAACUUUUCAAGAGGACGCUUUAGAGACAGCAGCUCCAAAUGGCCUACUUGUCACUGAUUGAAGAAGAUGCUGACCUGAAAUAAAAACAGUUCCUAGGACCCAUCAAGGCCUCAACUAGAAAGGGGAAUGCUCUGUAAACACCUUGAGGGCAGAGAUUGUCUGGCUUAUCACAGUGUACCCCAGUGCCUCACAGGAUAACUGGAAUGGGGUGUGGGGGGAUCAAUUAAUGUUGAGUGAAUGAAUGAAUGAUCUGAUUAUGGAAAGGGGCUCCCUAAGCUUUUCAGGGGUUGAAAAACUUGGGCAGAGUGAUGAGCUAAGAUUUGUGGGUUUCGACCUCUGUAUUGAGUCUUAGUUUGUUACAGGAUGGUAUUGGUGACCAACAAAUAUUCACCGGGUAAUUGAUCUUACUCUGUGUUUUAUUUGUUCCUGCGUGCUUCAAUCCCUUGGUUUACGAGCAAUUUUGGCAUUGUGAUGGAUUCUACAAUUACAAGAACUUCUUGACUGCCCUCUAGUGGAAAAGAUGAAGAUGUGGCACUCAGAACAAUACAUUCACCUUUCCUGCUGAUGUUGAAAGUGGCCCCCUUUUUUCUGAUAACUCACUGGACUUUAUAUAAUUCAAAAUUGUGAUUGUUCCAAAUUUGGCAGUUCAUCCUCAAUUUACAGAUAAAGUUGAUGUGUAGAACAGUGCUUCUCAAAUUGACCGGCAAAGGACCAGUUUUUAAAAAACGUUUAAUCUAGGCCGGGCGCGGUGGCUCACGCCUAUAAUCCCAGCACUUUGGGAGGACGAGGUGGGUGGAUUGCAAGGUCAAGAGAUCAAGACCAUCCUGGUCAACAUGGUGAAACCCCGUCUCUACUAAAAACACAAAAAUUAGCUGGGCGUGGUGGCACUUGCCUGUAAUCCCAGCUACUCGGGAGGCUGAGGUAGGAGAAUUGCCUGAACCCAGGAGGCAGAGGUUGUGGUGAGCCGAGAUCACGCCAUUGCACUCCAGCCUGGGUAACAAGAGAGAAACUCCGUCUCAAAAAAAAAAAAAAUGUUUAAUAUGCAAACCAAUCCAUUGUACAAUAAAAAUGAAUUAUUAAUACUGGACAUAUUACAUUAAAAAACAAAGAUAUACAAAAUUAAAAUCAAAUGUUAUUAUGAGAUCCAACAGACAAAAUUACAUUUCAGUAAUUAUAAUCAGAAUAAACAUAACAUAGGAAAAAAUAAUUCCAAACUCUGUACAUGUUCAUUGAAUGCGUGUAUUAUGUGAUUAACCUAUAAAUUGCUAUUUUGCAUUCAUAAUUUUUGUUGUUCUGCAAUUAUAACUAAAUGAAAAUUAUUAUUAAAAUGGUGUUUCUCUACUUUGAAUGAACACUAUGAAUAUCAAUAUUGAGCAAUCUUUAUUUAUUUUUAUUUUUUUAGACAGAGUGUCCCUCUUAGGCCGGGCGCGGUGGCUCAAGCCUGUAAUCCCAGCACUUUGGGAGGCCGAGGCGGGUGGAUCACAAGGUCAAGAGAUCGAGACCAUCCUGGUCAACAUGGUGAGACCCCGUCUCUACUAAAAAUACAAAAAAUGAGCUGGGCAUGGUGGCGCAUGCCUGGAAUCCCAGCUACUCAGGAGGCUGAGGCAGGAGAAUUGCCUGAACUCAGAAGGUGGAGGUUGUGGUGAGCCGAGAACGUGCCACUGGACUCCAGCCUGGGUAACAAGAGUGAAACUCCAUCUCAAAAAAAAAAAAAAAAAAAAAAAUAGACAAGAGUGUCCCUCUGUUGCCUAGGAUGGAGUGCAAUGGUGCCAUCUCGGCUCACUGUAUCCUUUGCUGCUCGGGUUCAAGCGAUUCUCCUGCCUCAGCCUCCCAAGUAGCUGGAAUUGCAGGCACCUGCCACCUCACUGCUAAUUUUUGUAGUUUUAGUAGAGAUGGGGUUUACCCAUCUUGGCCAGGCUGGUUUUCUGCCUCCAUUCCUUCUCUGAGGCCAAGGACAUCUGCACAGCCAAGCAGAGAUGCAAUGAUCUCUGAGGGCAACCUUCAGUCAGUAGGAGAUGGGAACUGGUGGAUUAGAGCCUCUGUGUUCCUGUGCUUUGGUGGAACAAUUCUGACGUAUUGAUACCGUUUGACUGUGUCCCCACCCAAAUCUCAUCUUGAACUGUAUAGCUCAUAUAAUUUUCAUGUGUAACGGGAAGGACUUGGUGGGAAAUAAUUGAAUCAUCGGGGAUGGGGGUUCCCCCAUACUGUUCUCAUGGUAGUAAAUAAGUCUUAUGAGAUCUGAUGAUUCUUCAAGUGGUUUCCCCUUUUGCUUGGCUCUCAUUCUUUCUUGUCUGCCACCAUGUAAGACUUGCCUUUUGCCUUCCGCCAUGAUUAUGAGAUCUCCCUAACCACGUGGAACUGUGAGUCCAUUAAACCUCUUUUUCUUUAUAAAUUACCCAUUCUUGGGUAUGUCUUUAUAAGCAGCAUGAAAACAAACAAAUACAGGUAUGUUGUGUUCAUUUCGUCAGAAGUUUCCCUGUUGGAUUGAUUCCCAGUGCUCAUGUGAGUAACCAGUCCAACAGAGCAUAAGUUACUGGCUUUUCUCUCUUCCCUGUCUCACUCUUCCUACUCAAUCACUGCUGCUCCCUCAGAUUGCCUCCCAUUUAAAUCACCUGCACCUAAAUCCUGACGUCAGCCUCCACUUAUGGAGGAAACUAAAAUAAAGUCCACGGGCAGCUGCCGAGUAACCUGCAUGUUUCAGAUUCCCUUCAAUUAAGAAGACUCCUUUUAAACAUCAAGAUAUUCAUGGAGCCUGUCUUCGGCAACUAGCCAUUGUGCUUUUGGUAUUCAUGCUUCAUUCAUUCAACAGGCACUUUUCUAAAGCCUGAUAAAGUGCAGAAUGCCGAAAUGAUACUGUGACAUGUAUUACUCUUGUGAAAGGGUGUGUAUAUAUAUAUAUGUGUGUGUGUGUGUAUAUAUAUAUUUCUUAUGACAGCAUCUAUUGAAAACAAUGGUGUUUCUAGAGAUCAAAGUAAAAAUGAUUUUCAAAUAUGUGAAAAGGUGCUAAACCUCACUCACAGGAAUAACAAUGCAAAUUAAAAGACAUUAAAAUGCCAUUUUCCAUGUUUCAGAUUCGCAAAGACCAAAAAGUUUGAUAACAUUGUGUUGGUUAGAAUGUGGGAAUCAUUACUUUAAUACAUGAUUAUUGAUCACCUAUCAUGAGUGUGUGCUGUGCACUGAGUAACCAGCAGUUAACAAAGUAAACAAAAAUUCCUUCUCUCCAGGAGCACACAUCCCAGUGGAGGGGUUGGUAGCGCAAUCAGUGAAAAUGACUCCCUGAGUCACACAAUGAGUGCUCUGAAGAAAGACAAAGCAAUAUAAAAUCUGCCGAGUGACCAAGGGGUGGUGGUACCUUAGGUAGGGUGGUCAGAGGAGAUCUUCCUAAUAUGGGGACAAUUGAGCAAAGGCCUGAAUAAAGUCUUGGGGGUAUUUCUCGCAGAAGUAUUUUCCAGGCAGUGUGAAGUAGUCAGAUGAAGACUUUCACAGAUACCAGUAAUAAAAACUGGAUCCAAUGUUAAGCAAUGGUUUCUUAGAGAGGAAAACCACAACAACCAAAAGGGAAAAACAGAUAAAUUAGACUAUGUUAAAAUAUAAAAUGUAUGUGCUUCGAAGGACAUUAUUAACAAAGUAAAAAGACGAUCCACAGAAAUGGGAGGAUAUAUUUGCAAAUCAUGUAUCUGAUAAGGGUCUAGUAUCAGAACAUAUGAAGAAUUCUUGCAACUCAACAAUAAAAAGAUAAAUAACCUAAAUUUUAAAACGGGCAAAGUCUGGGCACAGUGGCUCACAUGUGUAAUCCCAGCACUUUGGGAGGCUGAGGCAGCUGGAUCGCUUGAGCUCAGGAGUUUGAGAUCAGCCUGGGCAAUGAGGUUUCACCUCAUCUCUACAAAAAAUACAAAAAGUAUCUGGGUGUGAUGGCAUGCGCCUCUAAUCCCAGCUAUUCAGGAGCUGAAGUGGAAGCACUGCUUAAACCCAGGAGGUGGAGGCUGCAGUGAGCUGCGACUAUACCACUGCACUCCAGCCUAGGUAACGGAGCAAGAGCCUAUCAAAGAAAAAGAAAAGGAGAGGAAAGGAGAGGAGGGGAGGGCAGGUGAAGGGAGGAGAGGAAACUGACAUAUGCUACAACGUGAAUGAGUCUUGAAAACAUUAUGUUAUGUGAAAGAAGUCAGACACAAGGCCAGGCGCAGUGGCUCAUUCCUGUAAUCCCAGCACUUUGGGAGGCCAAGGUGGGUGGAUCACCUGAGAUCAGGAGUUUGAGACCAGCCUGGCCAACGUGGUGAAACCCCGUCUCUACUAAAAAUGCAAAAAUUAGCUGGGCAUGGUGGUAGGUGCCUGUAAUCCCAGCUACUCAGGAGGCUGAAGUAGGAGAAUUACUUGAACCCAGGAGACGGAGGUUGCAGUGAGCCAAGUUUGCACCACUGCACUCCAGCCUGAGCAGCAGAGCGAGACUCCAUCUCAAAAAAAAAAAAAAAGAAAAAGAAACAGGCCAGGUGUAGUGGCUCACGCCUGUAAUCCAAGCCCUUUGGAGGCUAAGGCGGGCAGAUCAACUGAGGUUGGGUGUUCAAGACCAGCCUGACCAAUAUGGUGAAACCCCAUCUUAAAAAAUAAUAAUAAAAUAAUUUUAAAAAGCCGGGCGCUGUGGCUCACACUUGUAAUCCCAGCUCUUAGGGAGGCAGAGGCAGGAGGAUAGCUUGAGCCCAGGAGUUUGAGACCUGCCUGGGCAAUAUAGCAAGACCCCGUUCUCCACAAAAAGGAAAAAAAGACUAAUGAUAAUAAUAAAAGAAACAAAAAACAAAGAAGUUAGACACAAAAGGCCACAUAUUUUGUGAAUGAAUUUAUAUGGAUUAUCAAGGCUGUGGGGAUUUGGUACAACUAUAAGAGCAAUAUAUGGGGAAUAUGGAGGAUUACCAAGGUUUAUUCAGGCAAUUAUUUUUCCAGUGAUCAGAUUUUCAUAAUAGUUGCAAUUUUCUUACUGUGAUUAUCUCUUUGGAGAGACAAUGCUUAUACCCCCUCUACGGGUAUAAGAGUUUGGUCUUUAGCUUUUAGGGAAUGUUUAAGGUUAUCAACAAUGUGGUCUCUCUAACUUUUUUUAAUUCUCAAGAUCCUUAUUCAGAAAAAUAAUGCAAAACUUGGAAGAAGCACAACAAAAAUUUGCAUGACCUUUCAGUAUAAUUAAUGACUCAGUAUUCACAACUGCUUAAGGCCCAGAUGGUUUACAAUGCUAUAGAAACUGCAAGAAAACUGAUAAGAUAUGAUGAAUUUUGAUGCUUAGAAAAAGAUAACCUUAAAGGUUGUAGUUUAUCACCUUGCAGAAUAUUUACUAGUUUGUGUCUAACCUAGGAAUAGUAUCUCAGCACUUUUUUUUCUAAUGCUCAUAUACAUUUCAGUUUCUUACAUUCUCUAGUAAACGAGCUUUGUCAUUUUAGUGAUUUCCUCGUUAAUAAGUUAAAUCAAACUAUGACACAUGCUUAUGUGAGAAUUGAGUUUUUUUAAAAUAAAGAUUUGAAGAUUAUGGUGACACAAAGUUAAUUUUAAGUAGAGAAGCAAAAUGAAGGUUAUUGAGAGUUUUUAGGCACUUCUUUUUAAAAUUACUGGUUUUUCCAAUAUUGACAAUUUUCCUGGCAUCAUUCCAUGGAGGGCUGAGGACCUGUAUUUCCUGUGAGGUAGAAGGGUCUGGUCUUUAGUUUGGGGGGCUUAUUACAAGUAUCUGAAAAGGCUUCUUUGUAAGGUUUUUCUCUGAAGUCCCAAAAGAGGCUUUGCAACAUCUCCUAGGUAUUUCUCUUCUGUGAGAGAAGCGGUGAAAGAGUUUGUCUCUCUUUCCUAAAUCUCAUCUUCUCACAAAUAUUCUGCUUCCAUGUUUCAGGAUGAGAGUGCUCUACGUUUUCUCUUGGGUGAUUUGAUGGUCCCAGGCAUCACCAAGACAAAACUAUAAUUUGUGAACAUCUCUAGGCUGUCAGUUCUAUCUCUUGGGUACCAUGAGGCACCAUGAGAAUUGAAUAGGAACUGGGCAAUAGUGAGGUAUUUCUUUCUUAUUUAUGAGACUGGGAAGUAUCCAUAGAAAGUUUUCUAGCCUGCCAGGUGCGGCAGCACUUUGGGAGACUGAGGUGGGUGGAUCAUCUGAAGUCGGGAGUUUGAGACCAGCCUGACCAACGUGGACAAACCCCGUCUCUAAAAAUACAAAAUUAUCCAAGUGUGGUGGCGCAUGCCUGUAAUCCCAGCUACUCAGGAGGCUGAGGCAGAGAAUCACUGGAACCCAGGAGGCAGAGGUUGCAGUGAGCCGAGAUUGCACCAUCGCACUCCAGCCGGGGCCACAGGAGUGAAACUCCAUCUCAAAAAAAAAAAAAAAAGGAAGAAAGUCUGUCUUGCCUGAGAAUAAAAAUGGAUAGGGUAAACAUAAGAAAAAAAAAGAGGCUGGGCGUGGUGUCUCAUGCCUGUAAUCCAAGCACUUUGGAGGCCAAGGCGGGCGGAUCACCUGAGGUUGGGAGUUCAAGACCAGCCUGACCAACAUGGUGAAACCCUGUCUUAAAAAAAAAGAGAAAGAAAAAAAAGAGAGAUAAAAUAUUUUUUAAGAGGUGGGGAGGAAUAACAGAUUGAUAAAAAGAUAAAAUCAGUCCAUGAUCCCUUCCUGAGAUGAUAAAAGAAACUGAACUGAAAAUAAUUUAGAGAUGGAACUUUCCCAUGGAAUCUCUUAGCAGUGGAGAGGAGAUAAGGAGGGCAAUGAGAAACUACGACAUCAAGGUGCAUCAUAUGUGCACUUCACCCUGUCCUGUCCCUCACCUUUGCUGUCUUUGGAGUUCUUAUUGCACCAGAUACUUUCCUGCACCAACAACGUUGUGUGAAAGAAUCUACAGCCUCAGAAUGUUUUUGAAAUAUGGCCAGAAGUCUGGGCACAGGUCACAGUCCUCUGCUCAGGUGGCAUCAGACUGAAAUCAAGGCGCAGCCAGGCUGCAGUUUUAUCUGAGCCUCAGAACCUCUUCCAAGCUCCCUGGAUUUGGCAGAAUCCAUUACUAGCAGUUGCAGAACGGUAGAACCUUUGAGACUCUAAUGUCCCGAAAGAGGUCUUGCAACGUCUGCUAGCUAUCCAUGAGAGAAGAAAUGAGUUUGUCUCUUUUUUCUAAAUCUUUCCUUGGAGCCACCUGUCAUUCCCUGCCACAUGGCCUUCUCCACAACAUGGCAGUUUGCUUCUUUAAGGCCAGGAGGAAAGCAUCUCUGGCUUUGAAUCUCUCUAACUUGACUUCCUUUCUGAAACCUUCUUUUAAAGGGAUCACCUGAUCAGGUCAAGCCCACUGAAGAUAAUCUCCCUCUUCAUUAACUCAAAGUCACCUGAUUAGGGAUCUGAAUGACAUCUGCAAAGUCUCUUCACCUUUGCCACAUAUCAGUAACAUAAGCUAAUCACAGGAGUCAUCCCCCAUCAGAGUCACAGGUCUUAGCCACACUCAAAGGGAGAAGUAUAUACAGGAUGUGCACCACAAGGGGGCAGACAUCGUAGGUCCAUGUUAGAAUUCGGCCUGCCACAGAAGGUGAAGGAAAAUAUCAAAUAGACGUAAGAGAGAAGAGACCUGCAGCCUCAGGAAGGGCAAGUGCAAAAUCCCUGCAGAAGGAGACACCUGGUGCCCGUCAAUGUGGCUAGAACUGAAGAGACGGUAGCAAGAGAUGAGAUCAGAGGGGUCAAAAUGAGCUAGAUUGUUUAGGAUCUUACAGAACUUUUGUCUCUAAACGUAUUAUAAAAAUGUUCAAAGUACAAAAAAGUUAAAAAAUUUAUUUUCUUUAGAGACUGAGUCUCACUGUAUUGCCCAGGCCGGAGUGCAAUGGUACAAUCUUGGCUCACUGCAAUCUCCUCCUCCUGGGUUCAAGCAAUUCUCCUGCCUCAGUCUCCUAAGUAGCUGGGAUUACAAGCACACACCACCACAUCCAGCUAAUUUUUGUAUUUUUAGUAGAGACGGGGUUUCACCGUGUUGGCCAGGCUUGUCUCAAACUCCUGAGCUCAAAUGAUCUGCCUGCCUCUGCCUCCCAAAGUGCUGGGAUUAUAGGCAUUGAGUCACCGCACCUGCCUUUUUUUUUUUUUUUUUUUUUUUGAGACGGAAUCUCGAGCUGUUGCCCAGGCUAGAUUAAAGUGGAAUGAUCUCAGCUCACUGCAACCUCUGCGUUCUGGGUUCAAGUGAUUCUCAUGCCUCAACCUCCCAAGUAGCUGGGAUUAUAGACGAGCACCACCACACCCAUCUAAUUUUUGUAUUUGUAGUAGAGAUGGGUUUUGCCAUGUUGGCCAGGCUGGUAUCAAACUCCUGACCUCAAGCAAAUUGCCCACCUUGGCCUCCCAAAGUGCUGGGAUUACAGGCGUGAGCCACUACACCUGGUCAAAAUCAUUUUUUUUUUUUAAUUUUUUUUCUUUAUUUAUUUUAAAAAAUUAUUUUAUUACUAUUUUUAAACACGAGCUCUUGCUCUGUGCCCAAGCUGGAGUGCAUAAUGUAAUCUCGGCUCACUGAAGCUGUGAUCACUCCUGAGCUCAAAUGAUCCUCCCACCUCAACUUCUCAAGUAGCUGGAACUACAGACCAGAGCUGCCGUGCCUGGCUUCCUUCUUUCUUAAGCAACAGACUACGUUGCUAGUUGCUUCGAACUUUUCAGUUUCCAAGCCUCUCCACAAUCACCACCACCUUUUUCUCACUCAGACUGAAUUCUGCACCAGUAACGUCUUAAAUUUGUAUAACCAUGGGGUUUAGGAGUUUUCCUACUUUUUAAUUUGCUAGUAAAGGAAUUGAGGAAAUAAAGGGAUAUGAUUUCCACGUGGCCAACAGGGAAAUUGAAACUCAGAGUCAUUCCGCCCAUGGUUCUACAGCACAGCUGGUGACUGAUCUGGGACCCGUUGCUGAUUUCCAGGCUGGGGCUCUUUCACUAGGUAAGUGGCUUAUCUGGUUUGCUUUUCUUGCCAUUCCUCCCUCACCAAAAAGCAAGACUCCUGCUUUCAUCUCCUGGGGAACAGAAAAGAAGGAAGGGAGAAUUCUGCGGCUAAUUACCCUGCAGAAUUGUUUCCACCAGUAAUUCCCCUGAAUUAGCUGUCAGGGAUUUCCUUAAAUAGAAUUGUUUUUUUUUUUUUAAGAUGGAGUUUUAUUCUUGUUGCCCAGGCUGGAGUGCAGUGAUGUGAUCUCGGCUCACCGCAACCUCCACCUCCCGGGUUCAAGGGAUUCUCCUGCCUCAGCCUCCCAAGUAGCUAGGAUUACAGGAAUGCACCACCAUGCCUGGCUAGUUUUAUAUUUUUAGUAGAGAUGGGGUUUCUCCAUGUUGGUCAGGCUGGUCUCGAACUCCUGACUUCAGGUGAUCUACCUGCCUCGGCCUCCCAAAGUGCUGGGAUUACAGGCAUGAGCCACCUCGCCCUAGAUAGGACUUUUAACACAUACCACAGGCAUAUUCUCACUUCAGUGCCUUCACGUGAGUGGUUCUCCUCUGCUGAAAUGCCUUCAUCUGUCCUCUUCAUGAACCCAAAUCCAUCCCAGUCUGCAGACAUCUUCUAUGUCACUUUCCUGCCUGACCCCACUUCACCCCACCAGGACUGUGACUCAACCAUAGUGACCAAGAGUCUAUGAUGGGGCCAGUCAUUGCUUCUAGGGUCUUCCACCUUCCUUAUAGCAUUUCAACCCACAGAAAACAUGUGAAGCAGAUGUUUUUAUUCCCGUUUUAGAGCUGAUGCAACCCAGGCUCAGGAAGGUUGAGAACUCCAGCUUCUUGACUGUCUUUUCUUUUCCCCAUAACUCAAGGUGUUUUUUCCUCGUCAAUGUCUUUUCCUUUAAAAAACAUUCUAGGCCAGGCACGGUGGCUCAAGCCUGUAAUCCCAGCACUUUGGGAGGCCGAGGCGGGUGGAUCACGAGGUCAAGAUAUCGAGACCAUCCUGGUCAACAUGGUGAAACCCCGUCUCUACUAAAAAUACAAAAAAUGAGCUGGGCAUGGUGGCAUGUGCCUGUAAUCCCAGCUACUCAGGAGGCUGAGGCAGGAGAAUUGCCUGAACCCAGGAGGCAGAGGUUGUGGUGAGCCGAGAUCACGCCAUUGCACUCCAGCCUGGGUAACAAGAGCGAAACUCUGUCUCAAAAAGAGAAACAAAAAAACAUUCUAGUUUUUCUGUGUACCAUUCAGAUGAACUACAAGAAUUUUAGUUCCAACGUUAGGUAAGCCUCAUGUAACAGUCUGCUGCAGGGGACAGGAGCGUGCACAGAAUUGAAUAAUUUCCACUUAGGAUUUUAAAUAAAGUUUGCCAAAAACAUAUUAUAUUGCAAGCAUCCAAGUUACUAGAUGUCCUGAAUGAGAGGUAUAGGGUUCAAGGUCCUGGCCCCACUGGAAGUUCAAAAAUCACUGACGUGGCAGAUUAAUAAGAGAAAAGGCAUACAAAUUUAUUUACUGAGCACAUGCUCAGGCAGAAUCACAGAGUAACUGCACAUCUCUUAAAAGGCUUCAGAAGCUCUUCCAAAAUUCUUUUUUUUUUUUUUUUUUUUUUUUUUUGAGACAGAGUUUCGCUCUUGUUACCCAGGCUGGAGUGCAAUGGCGCAAUCUUGGCUCACCGCAACCUCUGCCCCCUGGGUUCAGGCAAUUCUCCUGCCUCAGCCUCCUGAGUAGCUGGGAUUACAGGCACGCGCCACCGUGCCCAGCUAAUUUUUUGUAAUUUUUAGUAGAGACGGGGUUUCACCAUGUUGACUAGGAUGGUCUCAAUCUGUUGACCUCGUGAUCCACCCUCCUCGGCCUCCUAAAGUGCUGGGAUUACAGGCUUGAGCCACCGCGCCCGGCCCCUUCCAAAAUUCUUAACUGAGUUUUGAGAAAUGCAUAAACCGUAGAAUCUAAACCUCUAUAAAGAUACAGAACUUUAUCAUCAUCCCCCAGAAAAUUCCCUAUGUUCCUUCCUGGUUCUCUCCAACUCUCCGUGAAGCAAUCACUUUUCUGAUUUUUUCUUUUCUUUUCUUUUCUUUUUUUUUUUGAGAUGGAGUUUUGCUCUUGUUACCCAGGCUGGAGUGCAAUGGUGUGAUCUCGGCUCACUGCAACCUCUGCCUCCUGGGUUCAAGCAAUUCUCUUACCUCAGCCUCCCAAGUAGCUGGGACUACAGGCUAAUGCCACCAUGCCCAACUAAUUUUUUUGUAUUUUUAGUAGAGACAGGGUUUCACCAUGUUGACCAGGAUGGUCUCGAUCUCUUGACCUUGUGAUCCACCUGCCUCGGCCUCCCAAAGUGCUGAGAUUACAGGUGUGAGCCACCGCAUCCGGCCUGAUUUUUCUUAACCUAUAUGCCCUCAUUAUCAGACAGAGCUGAUUUUUUUCCACCAUAGAUUUGUUUAACUCGAUCUAGAACUUAAUAUACAUAGAAUUAUACAGUAAGUAUUCAUCAGGGGAAGGCUGUUUUCACUCAGUAUGAUAUAUAUACUUUUUUCCUUUUUGUGGAGAUUGGGGUCUUGCUAUGUUGCCCAGGCUGGUCUCAAACUUCUGAGCCCAAACAUUCCUCCCGCCUCUGCAUCCCUAAGUGUUGGGAUUGCAGGCAUCAGUUACCACCCAGGCCACACCCAGUAUAAUAUUUUGGAGAGUCAGCCAUAUUACCACAUGUGUCUGUAGUUCACUUUUUUUUCUUUUGAGAUGGAAUCUCACCCUUGUUGCCCAGGCUGGAGUGCAAUGGUACAAUGUUGGCUCACUGCAACUUCCGCCUCCUGGGUUCAAGCGAUUCCCCUACCUCAGCCUCCCAAGUAGCUGGGAUUACAGGCAUGCACCACCACACCCAGCUAAUUUUAUCUUUUUAGUAGAGAUGAGGUUUCGCCAUAUUGGUCAGGCUGAUCUUGAACUCCUCACCUCAGGUGAGCCACCUGCCUUGGCCUUUCAAAGUGCUGGGAUUACAGGUGUGAGCCACUGCCCCCGGCCUGUAGUUCACUUCUUUAUAUUUUCGAAGUAUAGCUAUACCUCAAUUUAUUGACUGAAUCAUCUGUGGAUGGACAUGUGUGUUGUUUCCAGUUUAGGGUCAUUAUGAAUAAAGCUGCUAUAAAUAUUUUUAUAUAGGUCCUUGUGGACGUAUAAUUUAAUCUUGAACAAAUACCUAGGUCACAGAGUAGGGGAUGAUUAAUUUUAUAAGAAACUAAAGCCGGGCGCAGUGGCUCACACCUGUAAUCCCAAGACGUUGGGAGUCUGAAGCAGGUGGAUCAUGAGCUCAGGAGUUCAAGACCAGCCUGGCCAACAUGGUGAAGCCCUGACUCUGCUAAAAAUACAAAAAAUUAGUCGGGUGUUGUGCCAUGCACCUGUAAUCUCAGCUACUCGGGCUGAGGCAGGAGAAUCGGUUGAACCCAGGAGUUGGAGGUUGCAUUGAGCCAAGAUUGUGCCUACUCCAGCCUGGGCAAGAGGGUGAGACUCGGCCUCAAAAAAAAGAAAGAAACUAAAGCUUUUUGCAAAGUGAUUGUCUCCUUUUGCAUUCCCUGCAUGAACUUAUAAGAGUUUCACUUGUUCUGAGAUCUUGCAGACAUUUAGUAUGGUCAGUAUUUUUAAUUUCAGCUAUUCCAAUGGGUGUGUAGUGGUAUAGAAACAAAUCUUAACUGUGUUGAAUUUUAAAAUGUUCAGAGAUUUUGGGGUCUUGAAAGUUGUCUGCUUGGAGAGCAUUGAAAAAAGAGCUAAGCUAUAUUUGGUGAAAAGUAUGAAAUGUGAAGUUGUUUCUUAGUAAAUGUGGAAAUCAUGUGUUGUUUGUUUUUUAGCCAGAAAAACAGGUAAUACAAUAUCUGCAUUAAGUGUUUUUGAAACAACAACCGGCCGGGUGCGGUGGCUCACACCUGUAAUCCCAGCACUUUGGGAGGCUGAAGCGGGUGGAUUAUGAGAUAAAGAGAUUGAACCAUCCUGGCCAACAUGGUGAAACCUGUCUCUACAAAAAAUACAAAAAUUAUCUGGGCUUGGUGACGUGCGCCUGUAGUCUCAGCUACUCAGGAGGCUGAGGCAGGAGAAUCGCUUGAACCAGGGAGGCUGAGGUUGCAGUGAGCUGAGAUUGUGCCACUGCACUCCAGCCUGGGUGACAGAGUGAAACUCCCUCUCAAAAAAAAAAAAAGAAAAAAAAAAAGAAAAAAUGUGUUGUUAUAUGGCAAAGGCCUGAGGUUAGAGUCAGAGUCUUUAACUCUUCCUGUAGUUUCCUACAGAAAAGGGAGCCAAGCACCGCAGCUCAUCCCCGUUAUCCCAGCACUUUGAGAGGCCAAGGUGGGCUAAGGAGUUCUAGACUAGCCUGGGCAACAUGGUAAAACCUUGUCUCUACCAAAAUAUAAAAAUUAGGCAUAAUGGUGUGCACCUGUAGUCUCAGCUACUCUGGGGGCUGAGUUGUGAGGAUGGCUUAAGCCCAGCAGGUGGAGGUUGCAAUGAGCCGAGGUAGUACCACUGCACUCCAGCCUGAGAAACACAGCUAGAACUCAUCUCAGGAAAAAAAGAAAAAAAAAAGUGUGUAGGGAGUGGACGAACCUCCCUCCUCUUAAUAACUUGUUUUUCACAUUUCAUUGCUUUCUCCCAAAAAUACUCAUACUAGAUUACAAAAUAUUUUAAAUCAUAAAAGAUAUUUUAAACCAGAAAACAUAUUAGCUAACGUUAUUGUUAAAUAAUGUACUUUUGUGUUUAACUUUUUUUUUUUGAGACGAAGUUUCACUCUUGUUACCCAGGCUGGAGUGCAAUGGUGCCAUCUUGGCUCACCACAACCUCCGCCUCCUGGGUUCAAGCAAUUCUCCUGCCUCGGCCUAGGAGUGCCCCCACAUGCUCGGCUAAUUUUUUGUAUGUUUAGUAGAGACGGGGUUUCACCAUGUUGACCAGGAUGGUCUCGAUCUCUUGACCUUGUGAUCCACCCGCCUCGGCCUCCCAAAGUGCUGGGAUUAUAGGGGUGAGCCACCGUGCCCGGCCUUUUGUGUUUAACUUUCUAGGAUACAGUUACUACUGAAUAAAAUAUUGGGAAUUUGGAACAUAGCAUAGUUGAUUCUAUGCCAGAAUUUGGAUUUCUGCAUUAACCUAAAUAGCUCAAGCUUUGUGUAAAGACGAUCUAAACCUGAGAUUUCAAUAGCGCAUUUGAAAUUAUAAUGUAUUUCAAUUAUAUACAGCACUGUUAUAGUUUAUAAAAUGGUUCAAGAAUGACUUAGAUAAUUUAUACAUUAUAAUUUGUGCAUGGUCUAAAUAUUGUUGUGGUUCAAAGAUUCACUGUUGAAAUCUUGUCCUAGGUUUUUCCAGCUUUAUUAAGAUAUUUUCGCAUACAAUAAAAUUUACCCAUUUAAA